UGUUGGACAAAACAAGGGUUAAUACAGCACCUUAGUGUUUUUUUGUACAGCAUUUUGGUCAGCUUAAACUGUGUUUAAAUGUGCUCUAGAAAUAAACUUUACUUACUUACUUUACAAGAGACAGGGUUUAGAGAGCAAUUCUCAACAAAGUAAACAGAAGUACAUAAUCCUUAUGUGACUUAACCCACGUG